rnacentral:lncRNA from 1 species
CAGAAUUUGAAUUGCUGCUGCUUUAUUACUAUUACUUAUUGCAAACACAAGAACGGGCACGAUACAAAAAUUCCACGAUAAAUAGAAAAGCAAUCAUACACGGCCAUAUUAAUCUAUGAACAAAUAAAUUAAAGAGAUGACUAAGAGUGGACUGUACUUUUAACUUGGCAUUUACACUUUAAAUCUCUCUUCCUUGUUUUGAUUUGUCCGUCACUUGAACACAAUAAGAUCAGGACGUGCAAGAUGGCCAUCAAACAAAUAGAAUCAAGCGGGUCUGAAUCACAGAUAUUGUAGCUCGGAGAUGACACCUUCAGACUUUUAUUCAAAGAACUUGGAUAGGAAGAUAGAUAUUUCACUUCACUCCAAAUGGAGCUUGCAUUUAUUCCUCGAAGAAAACUACAACCUGAAAAUGAAUUCCAUAGAAAUUUCCAUUACUAAAGUUCAUUCAUGUAUAUAUAAUUCUGAUUUUACUUUUGAAAAUGUAUAAGGUUGGUUAACUUACAUGAUUUAUCGUGAAUGGUGCUUCCGCAGUCUGAGCUUACUUGUAGAUAGGUGGAGGUGGGGAAGCAUAGACGUAAGCUGGAGGCGGAGGUGAUUUGUAAAUGUACUUUGGAGCGGGAGCUGGGGAGGGAGGAGGUGGUGAUUUGUAAUGGUAUGGUGGAGGUGGAGAUGGAGAAGGUGGUGGAGGGCUCACGUAGUGGUAAGGAGGUGAAGGAUACGACGUUGGUGGUGGAGGGGAUUUGUAGUAGUAGGGAUGAUGAGGAGUGGGAGAUGGUGGAGGAGGACUUUUAUAGUAAUAAGGAGGUGGUGGAGAUGGGGACGGGGGUGGAGGGGAUUUGUAGUAAUAUGGAGGUGGUGGUGAUGGGGAUGGUGGUGGUGGUGAGUGGUAGUAGUAGGGAGGGUGUGUGCUCUCUUUAGGUGGAGGUGGGGAGUGAUAGUAGUAAGGUGGUGGAGGGGAUGGUGAAGGUGGUGGGGGAGAUUUAUAGUAGUAUGGAGGAGGAGGGGAUGGUGAAGGUGGGGGUGGAGAUUUAUAGUAGUACGGAGGGGGAGGAGAGGGUGAUGGUGGAGGUGGAGAUUUAUAGUAGUACGGAGGGGGAGGAGAGGGUGAUGGUGGAGGUGGAGAUUUAUAGUAGUAUGGAGGCUUAUAAACCGGUGAGGGUGGAGGUGGGGAGUGGUAGUAGUAUGGAGGGGGAGGUGAGGGGGAUGGUGGAGGGGGAGAGUGGUAGUAGUAUGGAGGGGGAGGUGAAGGGGAUGGUGGAGGUGGAGAGUGGUAGUAGUAUGGAGGUUUAGGCUUUGGUGAUGGUGGGGGUGGAGAUUGGUAGUAGUAUGGAGGCUUUGGCACCGGUGAUGGUGGAGGUGGAGAGUGGUAGUAGUAUGGAGGUGGAGGAGAGGGAGAUGGAGGAGGUGGAGAGUGGUAGUAGUAUGGAGGCUUAGGUUUUGGUGAUGGAGGGGGUGGUGAUUGGUAGUAGUAAGGAGGCUUUGGCACCGGUGAUGGUGGAGGUGGAGAGUGGUAGUAGUACGGAGGCUUAGGUUUUGGUGAUGGGGGAGGUGGAGAUUGGUAGUAGUAUGGAGGCUUUGGUACUGGUGAUGGAGGAGGUGGAGAGUGGUAGUAGUAUGGAGGUUGAGGUUUUGGUGAUGGUGGAGGUGGAGACUUAUAAUAAUAGGGAGGUGACUUGACGGGUGGUGGUGGUGACUUGUAAACAUAAGUUGGUGAUGGUGGUGGUGGUGAUUUGUAUACGUAAACUGGAGAGGGAGGAGGAGGUGAGUUGUAAUAGUAUGGUGUUGGUGAAGGCUUAUAAGGCUUCUUGUCACAGUCCUUGAAGUGCUUCUUUGAAGCAUAAGCAAAUGGCUUAGCCUUGAGCACAACUUCAUAUUUAUCUUUUGAUUUCACCUUCAAUGGAGUUCCCUCGUUCAGCUUGGUAGGUAUGUUGAAGGGAGAGUCCUUAGGUGGAGCAUGAAGGUGGGCCUUGCAGACUACUGAUCCAUAUUUCACAUAGUCAAAGUCCUUAACUGUGAUACUGUAUUUUCCAUUGCUCUUAGUUUCACCAUAAGCCUUUAUGAUGUUUCUUCCUGCUUUGCAUUUAACCUCCACAAUAGCACCUACAUUUACCCAAAAUGCUUCAUUA